GAGUUUGAUCAUGGCUCAGAUUGAACGCUGGCGGAAUGCUUUACACAUGCAAGUCGAGCGGCAGCGCGGGGCAACCUGGCGGCGAGCGGCGAACGGGUGAGUAAUGCAUCGGAACAUGUCCAUGUCGUGGGGGAUAGCCCGGCGAAAGCCGGAUUAAUACCGCAUACGCCCGAGAGGGGAAAGUGGGGACCGCAAGGCCUCACGCGAUUGGGUUGGCCGAUGUCCGAUUAGCUAGUUGGCGGGGUAAGAGCCCACCAAGGCGAUGAUCGGUAGCUGGUCUGAGAGGAUGAUCAGCCACACUGGGACUGAGACACGGCCCAGACUCCUACGGGAGGCAGCAGUGGGGAAUUUUGGACAAUGGGGGAAACCCUGAUCCAGCCAUUCCGCGUGAGUGAAGAAGGCCUUCGGUUGUAAGU
rnacentral:rRNA from 1 species